CCUGGGGCUACCAGAAGCUGGAAGGGGCCAGGAAGGCUCCUCCCCCAGAGGUCUGGAGGGAGUGCUACCCUGCUGACAUCUUGAUUUUGGCCUCCAGGCUUCUGGAACUGUGAGAGAACACAUUUCCGUGGUUUUCAGCCAUCCAAGCGUUCAGAACUUUGUGACAGCAGCCUCUGGAAACAGCCUCGCAGCAGAAACCCACAUGGAAGGCAGUUCUGGAAGUGUGGCUCAGCCAGGCCCCGCAGGAGAUCAGAGCCACCCCAGCCUCUGAGAUGAAUGUCUCCUCCUCACGGAGUUUUGCCAAGCCCCCUCCCUAAACCAGGGAGCCAGUCCUCUGCCCGGCUCCUUCCUGGUGCCAACCACAGUGGCGAUUGCAUUGGGGCCCUGGACAGCCUUGCCAGGCUCCCUCAGGAGCCUGUCACUCCCUGAGGACAAAGGGCUGUCGCAGGGGUUAAGUGAGAGCACAGUGGCAAUGUUCUUGGGCCAGUUCCUGGAAGGAACGUAGCACAUUGCCCGGCACAGAGCAAAUGCUGAGGAAAGUCACUUGGGGCUGUCUUCAGGCUGGAUCAGAAAAUUCCUCUUUCAGCAAAGACACCAUCUGGCAAGCGCUCUGCAGUCUCCGCCAUCCUCUGUAGUUCUGCCAGCUUAUUACUGUUUUGUUUUGUUUUAAAAAUAUAGAUGACAUUUAUCGAGUACUCACUGUUAUUUCUCCCUUAAUUCUCUCCACAGCCCCAUGAGGUAGGUGCUGCCAUGAGCCCUAUUUUCCAGAUGAGGAAAACUGAGGCUUAGAAACAGUUAAGUGGCCCGUCCCAGAUCACAUGGCCA
rnacentral:lncRNA from 10 species